CACAUUUUGGCGACGCGGCGGGGCGGCUAUUUAAAGCGGGGCAUCCCGAAAAAUGAAGAAUUGUUGAAACGAGGCGGGCGCGGGGCUGCGGGCGGGAGUCAAUCGUGGAACACGGUUGUUUUAUUUAUUAUUUGUUGACGGUAAAAAUAGUCGGGAGUCGCUCUCGGCUCGGCGCUCGUGCAGCCAAAUCGAAAGCUCUCGGCCGACUGGGCCGGACCGCUAAGCGACCGGGUCGCUGCACGAAGAAGGGGCUCUCCGACUCCGACGCCGUCUUCGCGAGAGUGUUGUCUUUUCCGUCGGAUUUUCGGGCGCCGGCCGCGUCUAGUCGUCCUACUGCACCCCGUGCAUUUCCAUCGCCGAAUCUUGCCGCGUUUCGCGAGGUAGUUUUCCGGCAGUGUGUCGCGCGAGGUGCGUCCUAUGACCCUUUCAACGAGGGUCCUACCCGUCUUGAUACCUUUUCCGGAAGCAUCAUUAUCAGUCGGUUUUUCAUGAUAAAUGUAGAGCCUAAUUGUAAGAAAUAAAAUAUCUAUCGUAUCAACCUGCAAAUUUCAAACGCUUCGCUAGGAAAUUCUUGAAGCCAAGUGCUUCCAAACGCACAUGUGACUAUCUAAAGUGCGAGAAUAGUGCAGUGUGAAGUGCGCUCUUUGACGGUGUGUAAAAAACUAAACCAGCCCAUGUACGAUGGCUUGAACUCAGUUUGCCUUCGUGAUAAGGACUUUAGCUCGGCCGAUGUUUGAGGUUCGGUGCUCGGUGUAAAGAGGCCCAAAAUUCAAUCGGAGGGGUCCAAGUUCGGUUGAAGGGGGCCCACGUUUAACUCGCGGAUCCCAGUUUCAUCGAGGGACCCAAGUUCGAUUGGAAGGGUUCAAGUCUGACGUGGCCCGAAGUUAGUCGGAGGAGAGAAUCAAGCGUCAUCCGAGGAAAACCAAAUUUGAUCAAGCAGCAAAAUUUCGAUCGGAGGGACUCAAAUCCGAUUGGAAGCGGCUCAAUCUAGUGGAAGGGCCCCGAGUCGGAUCGGCGGAGCUCGUCGGAUGGGCCCUCAGGCGUGGUGAUGCGCAAGAGCCAGCGGGGGGAAGGAAGUUCGGGUAGUUGGGGCCCCGGGACCCAGAUGGCGACAGCGGACGUGGAGCGACCCCGGAAAGAAGCUUUCCGCUUUCCGCCUACAGCAGAUUCUGCGUCGCAUUUCCUCAGCAACGAGGAACGCUGGCAAGUCCCCGCUGCGA
rnacentral:lncRNA from 1 species